GGACUACUAGGGUAUCUAAUCCUGUUUGCUCCCCACGCUUUCGUGCAUGAGCGUCAGUGUCAGCCCAGAGACCUGCCUUCGCCAUCGGUGUUCCUCCUGAUAUCUACGCAUUUCACUGCUACACCAGGAAUUCCAGUCUCCUCUGCCGCACUCCAGACUUCCAGUCCCAAACGCCAUUCCCAGGUUAAGCCCGGGGAUUUCACGUCUGGCUUAAAAGCCCGCCUGCGCACGCUUUACGCCCAGUAAUUCCGAUUAACGCUCGCACCCUACGUAUUACCGCGGCUGCUGGCAC
rnacentral:rRNA from 2 species